rnacentral:misc_RNA from 1 species
AAGUCGUAACAAGGUUUCCGUAGGAGAACCUGCGGAAGGAUCAUUAUCGUUGGGCUUCGGCCCAUUCGAGAUAACACCCUUGCCUUUUUGAGUACCUUUUCGUUUCCUCGGCAGGCUCGCCUGCCAACGGGGACCCUUCAAAACGCUUUGUAAUACCUGUAAUCGUCUGAUAUAACAAGCAAAAAUCAAA